rnacentral:tRNA from 1 species
AGGAUUAUAUUUAACAAUAAUAUUUGAUUUGCAUUCAAAAGGUAUCUUAUGAUUAAUCUUA